rnacentral:rRNA from 1 species
UUUUACCAUAUAGGUAAAUAUGGGAUGCAGUGUAUGGAACAUCAAUAAUCUAGUAUGAAAAAUUAACGAUUUAAGUCCUUCUUAAAUGAGGCCAUUUACCCAUAGAGGGUGCCAGGCCCGUAUAACGUUAAUGAUUAUUAGAAGAUGUUUCCAAAGAGUCGUGUUGCUUGAUAGUGCAGCACUAAGUGGGUGGUAAACUCCAUCUAAAACUAAAUAUAACCAUGAGACCGAUAGUAAACAAGUACCGUGAGGGAAAGUUGAAAAGAACUCUGAAUAGAGAGUUAAAUAGUACGUGAAACUGCUUAGAGGUUAAACCCGAUGAACCUGAAUAUCCAUUAUGGAAAAUUCAAUGCUAAUAAAAUAGUGUGCAAUUUUUCCAUAUAAGGACAUUGUAAUCUGUUAAUGUAAUAAAUAUUUAUCAAAAGAUUCUUUACUUAAGUUUAUAUACAAUCAACAUAAAAUAAAUGUAUUGAAUUGGAUAAAUCAUUGACAGAUAUAAUUAUAUAAUGUGCUUAAAUUCUAUUGAAUUUUGCAAUGUUGCUAGCACUAUUAUGAUUAACAAUGCGAUAGAUUCAGGAUACCUUCGGGACCCGUCUUGAAACACGGACCAAGGAGUCUAACAUAUGUGCAAGUCAUUGGGUAUUUAUAAUAAAACCCAAUGGCAUAAUUAACUUAACUUAUGGGAUUAAUUUAUAUAUAUUCAAUCCCGGGGCGUUCUAUAUAGUUAUGUAUAAUAAUAUUUAUAUUAUUUAUACCUCUAACUAGAGCGUACCUUGAGCAUAUAUGCUGUGACCCGAAAGAUGGUGAACUAUACUUGAUCAGGUUGAAGUCAGGGGAAACCCUGAUGGAAGACCGAAACAGUUCUGACGUGCAAAUCGAUUGUCAGAAUUGAGUAUAGGGGCGAAAGACUAA